GAACCGUCCAAACGUUUAUUUCGGAAUCAUUGGGCUUAAAGGGUGCGUAGGCGGUGUGGUCAGUUGGGUGUGAAAUCCCUCGGCUCAACCGAGGAACUGCGCCCCAAUACUGCCACACUCGAGGGAGACAGAGGUAAGCGGAACUGAUGGUGGAGCGGUGAAAUGCGUUGAUAUCAUCAGGAACACCAGUGGCGAAGGCGGCUUACUGGGUCUCUUCUGACGCUGAGGCACGAAAGCUAGGGGAGCGAACGGGGAUUAGAUACCCCGGUAGUCCUAGCUGUAAACGAUGAGCACUUGAUCGGAGACUCCUCCAUAGGUUUCCGGUCGUAGCGAAAGUGUUAAGUGCUCCCGCCUGGGGAGUAUGGUCGCAAGGCUG
rnacentral:rRNA from 1 species